rnacentral:tRNA from 1 species
GAACUUGUUCCUGAUGAAAGGAUUCCUAGCUGAUAAUUAGGGCAUAGGGGGUUAGAGUCCCCCCAAGUUUU